GGAAGAGUGGCAGAGUGGUUUAAUGCAUCGGUCUUGAAAACCGACGACUGUAACAGGUCCGUGAGUUCGAAUCUCACCUCUUCCGCCA
rnacentral:tRNA from 1 species